rnacentral:rRNA from 1 species
AAGUCGUAACAAGGUUUCCGUAGGUGAACCUGCGGAAGGAUCAUUAUAAUUAGGAUUUGUCGGCCUAACCGACUAAACCAAUUAUCAAACCCCCAAUUAUUUCUGCGUAUUUAUUCCAUAAAUUAGCGACUUCAAUAACCUCGUGGUUAUAAAACUUCAGCUGAUCCCGUACUAUGGCAGUGGCUCAUUAGCGCUUUCAACCAGGUUCUAAAGAGCGGCAUUCCCGUGGAGAUUGUCUAUUAAUCAUAGAAAGCUUAUAAACCGGGUAUUUUGCAUGGCAUCUUUUACGGGUUGAAGCGUUAUAAAACCCCUUCUAGGUAAAUCAGGGGGGAAGGCUACAGUCUAGCCCGAGGUAUGGAGAAGCUUUUUUUACGACUCUUGUUGCACCAAUAUCUCUUUACGAGAUGAAAAUUUAAAAUCAAAACUUUCAACAACGGAUCUCUUGGUUCCGGCAUCGAUGAAGAACGCAGCAAAAUGCGAUAAGUAGUGUGAAUUGCAGAAUUCAGUGAAUCAUCGAAUCUUUGAACGCACAUUGCGCCUACUAGUAUUCUGGUAGGCACGUCUGUCCGAGCGUCAUUUCAACAAUCAGACUAUCUAAUGUCUGGACAUUGGGUACCUUCUCUCAACUCUUGAUAUCCUAAUUAACGUAAGUUAGUUAGUUGUAGAAGAGGUAGAAGUACCUUAAACGUUAGCUUUUCGUGGUCAGUGUAUCAAUGAUGACUGGGCGUUGUGGAAACGAGCUUAUAGAAGUCAUGAUACCGAACCGCCAGGCCUCUUAAAGGGAAGAAAAUAGGCAAUACAGUCGUAGAAUUUUUAUAUUUUGACCUCGGGUCAGAUGGGAAUACCCGCUGAACUUAAGCAUAUCAAUAAGCGGAGGAAAAGAAACCAACAGGGAUUGCCCUAGUAACGGCGAGCGAAGCGGCAAGUGCUCAGAUUUAAAAUCUGGUUCUGUUUCGGAAUCCGAGUUGUAAUCUGUAGAGGAUGCUUUGAGUGCUUUACGUGCCUAUGUUCCCUGGGAUGGGACGUCAAAGAGGGUGAGAACCCCGUUAGGCUAGUUAUUUGCGCUCGUGUAAAGCUCCUUCAACGAGUCGAGUUGUUUGGGAAUGCAGCUCAAAGUGGGAGGUAAAUUCCUUCUAAAGCUAAAUAUUGGCCGGAGACCGAUAGCGCACAAGUAGAGUGAUCGAAAGAUGAAAAGCACCUUGGAAAGGGAGUUAAAUAGCACGUGAAAUUGUUGAAAGGGAAGCGCUCACGACCAGACUUGACCGCGUGAAGCUUAAGGUCUGUUAAAGGACUGAAAAAGCUUUCGUUGGACAGGCCAGCGUCGGUUUCGUCAGAUAUUAAAAGGUUCUAGGAAUGUGGCUCCUAUCCUUUGGGUAGGAGUGUUAUAGCCUAGGGCGGAAUAUAUCUAGAUGAGACCGAGGUCUGCGCUUCGGCAAGGACGUUGGCGUAAUGGUCGCGAGCGGCC